CUUUCCUUUUUAUUUCAUCUUCUCUGUUCUUCCUCUCCUUCUCUUUCUGUCGAUCUCAAUUCGAAGAGUUUAGUUGUUAUCGUGUGAGAAUCGCUUAGGAACUUGUCAGCAAGAUGAAUCGAAGGUGAAGAUGUUGAUUCCGUGGUCGAAUUAGAUCGGAGGAGAAGAACUGGUUGCUGCUGUAAUUCAAAGUUAGAGUUUUAAGAUUGAAUUCGAGUUCUUAGGUAAAUUGAUAGGAUAAUUGAGUUUCUGAUAGAUGAAGAAUAAAGAGGUUAUCGGUUAAUUGAUGAAGUGGUGUUGAUUUGAUUAAGGUUUGGGGAGUUAGGGUUUCUGUUCUUCCCAAAAAUGGUUUUAGGAUUUCAGUAGAAUUGGAUUAGGGGAAAGGCAAUUCAGUGGAUGAUGAUAUUUGGUUACUCUUUAUUAACACCGAUCGAUUCGAACGAUGAACCGGUGGAUUGAGGAUCUCAAGGUAGGAGAGGCUUGUCAUCAUUUCAGGUGGGAACUCUGAAACCUUCUUGUAAUCAUUAAGUUCCUUUUCUUAUGCGAGCAUGAUGAGUCAUUACUUCUUAUGAGCAUAUUUGUGUGUAAAUGAUUGGGUAUGUUGUGUAAUAUGCGUUUUGUGGAUUCUCCAAAUGUUAUAUCUAUUUUUAUACUUAUUAUAGCCCAGAUGAGUCAAUAUCGUUAUAUAGGGGAAUAUUACCUUUUACAAUUUCUUGUGAGAAUCCAUUCGUUUGCAUAUUAUGCUUGAUUGCAAAACCUUCGGGACUUAUGAUGAUAGAUUCUUGAAUCAUGGUGUGGAUGGGCACAUCGUGUGGAUGGGCUAUUAUUGGAGUCUGGAGUUAUUCUGCUUUCGCUUUCUCCAAUGAGUUUGGCGAGGUCUGAGUGACAUAUUUUAGUUGUUCUUGUUUCACUUUUGUAGAUUCAUCCGGUGGUGGUCUUUCACGGAUAUUGCCACUAUGGACACAAUAUCUGAGGAAGUGGAACUAGAAUAACAUUCUUUCAUGAAUGAUAUAUGAUACGAUGCUUGUUAUUUGUUGAAUGAAUAAUUUGAUGUGUGUUUGAGUGAAAUCCCCGCGAGGAGUGACUUUGGUCUCCCCACAACUCCUUGCUAAGUCUUAUAGCCCAGAUGAGGCAAUAUAUAGCACGGGAAGUGCAUAUAAUAACUAUCUAGCGCGUAAAGCGAAAUAUUACUUUUUAUUUUAUAAUCUAAUUUAUGUCGUUAAGACCCAGAUGAGGAAAUAUUAUAUCGAGGUAUUUGGGGAAAUCAUUCUUAUGUAUAUUAUGCACGAUGACAUGUUUUAUUACUGUUCUUUAGAACUGCAAAGCAUAUUAGUGAUUACUUGAAAGUUAUAUGUUUCCAUUGGGCACCCCUUUGGGAUGAUGUGCUCACUCGUUCCCACUUCAGUUUUUAGUUUCACGAAGGAAUGGUGCACGUGAAGAUAUUCGUUUUCUUAGCUUAAAGUUUUUUAACGAACUGAAGAUGUUUGUUUAUCUUUUAUGUAUGUAUUCUUUCUUUCUUUGUAAAACAACACAUUAUUUUAUUCAUAUCACUUGAGAAA